rnacentral:lncRNA from 1 species
UUCAUGUUCAGUGAAGUGAGUAAAACCGCAUCACCCCAGCCAGGACUGGAAGUCAGGAGUGGGCAGUUGCUGGAUGUGUGUGCUGGCCGCCCCUGAAGAAAAUGUGUAUCCCAGAGGCUUUCGUCCCCACCAUCUUCGGAGCGAGGCCAGCCACCAGAUGCCCCGGGAUUCUUUCAAGAUGAAGGGAGGAGCCGAUGGAAGACUUCCACCACUGAUACUUCAAGCAGAGAUAACUACCCCAGCCUCUGAUCCAGGCAGUCCGAGGAGAUCUUGAAAACAUGCCUGGAAUUCACUUCAGCAUGUCCACGUCUAAGGAGAGAGUCAGCAAGUGCUUCCUCUCCUGAAGCCUGGAGCCAGCUUGGAGCUGCCCACAUGGGGAGUGGUUGGCUGGGGAGAGCUCUGGAUGGGGGGCUCUGGUCAUAGCCUUAUCUAUGUCACACUGGGUGACGUCCUGUGUAUGGGUGGUUUUGGGUCCUUAGCCUUCGGCAUUUCUAAAAUGAGAAGGCUGGAUUGUUCUCGCCCAGAUCCAAAGCCUAUCAUCUCUGGAAUCUUGGAGCCCUGGUUUGAAGUCUCAGCUUGCAUAUUACCCGGGGCAGAUUAUUUAUCCCCUCUGUCCUUCAAUUUUCUUAUCGGUGAAAUAAUCCUGUUAGGAUUCGUUGAGAUAAUGUGAGCAUUCCUAAGAUAAGCUCCCCACCCUCCACAGUGUGUCAUCACCUAACACAGCUCUUGCCCCAAAGAAAAACUGACGGCAGAAUAAUAGCCUGGGAUCUAAGGUGGCAGUCAGAUGCAUAGGGUUUGAAAACUCACAACCACCAGGACAUGCUAAGCCUGCCUGGAAACUUUAGUGUUGUACAGUGGAAACCACAGAAGAGUCUGAAGGGUUUGAAGUUUGUGGGUGGGGAAUUGGGCAAAUCAUGUUCCCUCUAAGAAUAAACAACAACAGUUCUUCACUUUUUUUUCCUGGGGCUUGGGCAACUUCACAGUUGCAACUGAGGAUGUGACGAAAACUGUAUAACCUGCCCCGGAAAGAGGCACAUAUGCUUACACACACUGAAUUCUGUAUUCAAACCUGCAAGUUUCACGGACUUUAGGACACCCAUUCCUGAAUACUUAAUGGCUUUGGAAGUUUCUCUUCAAGCAAAAGGAGCCUCGGGAACGGGUGGCUACGCAGAGGCUUCCUGGGGAGCAUGGUUGGGGCUCACUUGAAAGAGGUGCCACACAGCAGACUCUCCCGAAGAUGCGGACUUAGCUGAGGGUGGUUUAGGGAGCCCAGGGAGGUUUUUCUGCCACCUUCCAUGUCUCUUUAGAGAGUCACAGAUCCUGGUCUUCAGAAGCCCCUGUCAACAGAACAAGUAU